rnacentral:tRNA from 1 species
GUUAUUUUAGUAUAAUAAGUACGUUUGUUUUAAGAUCAAUUGGUAGAUAAGUAACU